AAAUCGUACCCCAAACCGACACAGGUGGUCAGGUAGAGAAUACCAAGGCGCUUGAGAGAACUCGGGUGAAGGAACUAGGCAAAAUGGUGCCGUAACUUCGGGAGAAGGCACGCUGACACGUAGGUGAAGUGAUUUACUCAUGGAGCUGAAGUCAGUCGAAGAUACCAGCUGGCUGCAACUGUUUAUUAAAAACACAGCACUGUGCAAACACGAAAGUGGACGUAUACGGUGUGACGCCUGCCCGGUGCCGGAAGGUUAAUUGAUGGGGUCAGCGCAAGCGAAGCUCCUGAUCGAAGCCCCGGUAAACGGCGGCCGUAACUAUAACGGUCCUAAGGUAGCGAAAUUCCUUGUCGGGUAAGUUCCGACCUGCACGAAUGGCGUAAUGAUGGCCAGGCUGUCUCCACCCGAGACUCAGUGAAAUUGAACUCGCUGUGAAGAUGCAGUGUACCCGCNGGCAAGACGGAAAGACCCCGUGAACCUUUACUAUAGCUUGACACUGAACAUUGAGCCUUGAUGUGUAGGAUAGGUGGGAGGCUUUGAAGCGUGGACGCCAGUCUGCGNNNNNNNNNNNNNNNNNNNNNNNNNNNNNNNNNNNNNNNNNNNNNNNNNNNNNNNNNNNNNNNAUCCGGGUUGCGGACAGUGUCUGGUGGGUAGUUUGACUGGGGCGGUCUCCUCCUAAAGAGUAACGGAGGAGCACGAAGGUUGGCUAAUCCUGGUCGGACAUCAGGAGGUUAGUGCAAUGGCAUAAGCCAGCUUGACUGCGAGCGUGACGGCGCGAGCAGGUGCGAAAGCAGGUCAUAGUGAUCCGGUGGUUCUGAAUGGAAGGGCCAUCGCUCAACGGAUAAAAGGUACUCCGGGGAUAACAGGCUGAUACCGCCCAAGAGUUCAUAUCGACGGCGGUGUUUGGCACCUCGAUGUCGGCUCAUCACAUCCUGGGGCUGAAGUAGGUCCCAAGGGUAUGGCUGUUCGCCAUUUAAAGUGGUACGCGAGCUGGGUUUAGAACGUCGUGAGACAGUUCGGUCCCUAUCUGCCGUGGGCGCUGGAGAACUGAGGGGGGCUGCUCCUAGUACGAGAGGACCGGAGUGGACGCAUCACUGGUGUUCGGGUUGUCAUGCCAAUGGCACUGCCCGGUAGCUAAAUGCGGAAGAGAUAAGUGCUGAAAGCAUCUAAGCACGAAACUUGCCCCGAGAUGAGUUCUCCCUGAGACUUAGAGUCUCCUGAAGGAACGUUGAAGACGACGACGUUGAUAGGCCGGGUGUGUAAGCGCAGCGAUGCGUUGAGCUAACCGGUACUAAUGAACCGUGAGGCUUAACCUU
rnacentral:rRNA from 1 species